GAUGAACGCUGGCGGCGUGCCUAAUACAUGCAAGUCGAGCGAACAGACGAGGAGCUUGCUCCUCUGACGUUAGCGGCGGACGGGUGAGUAACACGUGGAUAACCUACCUAUAAGACUGGGAUAACUUCGGGAAACCGGAGCUAAUAGCGGAUAAUAUAUUGAACCGCAUGGUUCAAUAGUGAAAGACGGUUUUGCUGUCACUUAUAGAUGGAUCCGCGCCGCAUUAGCUAGUUGGUAAGGUAACGGCUUACCAAGGCAACGAUGCGUAGCCGACCUGAGAGGGUGAUCGGCCACACUGGAACUGAGACACGGUCCAGACUCCUACGGGAGGCAGCAGUAGGGAAUCUUCCGCAAUGGGCGAAAGCUUGACGGAGCAACGCCGCGUGAGUGAUGAAGGUCUUCGGAUCGUAAAACUCUGUUAUUAGGGAAGAACAAAUGUGUAAGUAACUAUGCACGUCUUGACGGUACCUAAUCAGAAAGCCACGGCUAACUACGUG
rnacentral:rRNA from 1 species